rnacentral:rRNA from 1 species
UACGGGGGGGGCAAGCGUUGUUCGGAUUUACUGGGCGUAAAGGGCUCGUAGGCGGCCAACUAAGUCAGACGUGAAAUCCCUCGGCUUAACCGGGGAACUGCAUCUGAUACUGGAUGGCUUGAGUUCGGGAGAGGGAUGCGGAAUUCCAGGUGUAGCGGUGAAAUGCGUAGAUAUCUGGAGGAACGCCGGUGGCGAAGGCGGCAUCCUGGACCGACACUGACGCUGAGGAGCGAAAGCCAGGGGAGCAAACGGG